GACGAACCGAGCGAACGUUGUUCGGAAUCACUGGGCUCAAAGGGCGCGUAGGCGGACUCGCAAGUCAGGGGUGAAAUCCGGCGGCUCAACCGUCGAAGUGCCUCUGAUACUGCGAGUCUCGAGGGAGGUAGGGGCGUGCGGAACUUCCGGUGGAGCGGUGAAAUGCGUAGAUAUCGGAAGGAACACCGGUGGCGAAAGCGGCGCGCUGGACCUCUUCUGACGCUGAGGCGCGAAAGCCAGGGGAGCGAACGGG
rnacentral:rRNA from 1 species